CUUUUUUCUGGACAAACCCCUCAUGCAAUGGCUGGGUGAUCCAAGUACAAAACCACUGGAGGAAAUAAAAGAGGAAGAUAGUAGCAGCACUUUGCAUCCUUCAACGGAUCCAUCAAUAUCCCAAGAACAAUCCAUGGAAUCUCUCAGUGAGACUACGGAAAGUCUUCAAGAGAGGGCACCUGCAUGUACGCUUAACACUGUAGCUAUGGAUAUUCCUAGUGGGAAUUUGAAAGAAACAGAUACACUGCAGACCUCAGCACAAGGAAGUAGCUUAGCAGUGGAUACUACAAAUGGUGUCUUAAAAGAUAUAUCACAAGCAGGGG
rnacentral:lncRNA from 1 species